AUUGAACGCUGGCGGCAUGCCUUACACAUGCAAGUCGAACGGUAACAGGUCUUCGGAUGCUGACGAGUGGCGAACGGGUGAGUAAUACAUCGGAACGUGCCUAGUAGUGGGGGAUAACUACUCGAAAGAGUGGCUAAUACCGCAUGAGAUCUACGGAUGGAAGCAGGGGAUCGCAAGACCUUGUGCUACUAGAGCGGCCGAUGGCAGAUUAGGUAGUUGGUGGGAUAAAAGCUUACCAAGCCGACGAUCUGUAGCUGGUCUGAGAGGACGAUCAGCCACACUGGGACUGAGAAACGGCCCAGACUCCUACGGGAGGCAGCAGUGGGGAAUUUUGGACAAUGGGCGCAAGCCCGAUCCAGCAAUGCCGCGUGCAGGAUGAAGGCCUUCGGGUUGUAAACUGCUUUUGUACGGAACGAAAAGCCCCGGGUUAAUACCCUGGGGUCAUGACGGUACCGUAAGAAUAAGCACCGGCUAACUACGUGCCAGCAGCCGCCGUAG
rnacentral:rRNA from 1 species